rnacentral:rRNA from 1 species
UGCUGGGGACGUCUAAAGGAACUGCCUACGCAAGUAGUGAGGAAGCGGGGAGUGACGUCAAAUCAGCACGGCCCUUACGUCCAGGGCGUACACACGUGCUACAAUGGCCGAUACAGAGGGCAGCUACCUGGUGACAGGAUGCAAAUCUCCAAAGUCGGUCUCAGUUCGGAUCGGAGUCUGCAACCCGACUCCGUGAAGUUGGAUUCGCUAGUAAUCGCGCAUCAGCCAUGGCGCGGUGAAUACGUUCCCGGGCCUU